UGGGGAAUCUUGGACAAUGGGGGCAACCCUGAUCCAGCGAUGCCGCGUGAGUGAAGAAGGCCUUCGGGUCGUAAAGCUCUUUAGGCCGGGAAGAAGUUUGCGGGAUGAAUAAUCCUGUAAGUUGACGGUACCGGCAGAAUAAGCACCGGCAAACUCUGUGCCAGCAGCCGCGGUAAUACAGAGGGUGCGAGCGUUAAUCGGAUUUACUGGGCGUAAAGGGCGCGUAGGCGGUGAGAUGUGUGUGGAGUGAAAGCCCCGGGCUUAACCUGGGAAGUGCUUCGCAAACUAUCUGACUGGAGUAGUUGAGAGGGUGGUGGAAUUUCCGGUGUAGCGGUGAAAUGCGUAGAGAUCGGAAGGAACGUCGAUGGCGAAGGCAGCCACCUGGCAACAUACUGACGCUGAGGCGCGAAAGCGUGGGGAGCGAACAGGAUUAGAUACCCCCGUAGUCC
rnacentral:rRNA from 1 species